UUACAGUUUUUCUCAGUUGCUUUGGUACAUUUCUCGAGUCAUCCUUGACAUUUACAAAACAGUAAGUGCAUUUCUCAAAACAAUUCACAAUUAGCAAAACACCAUGGAUUACCUGCAAAAGCCCGUCUCUUGCUCAAAAUCGUUCAUCUCUCAAAAGUAAACAUCUGUGUCAUUCAACAUGUCAGUGCCAUCAGAAUGACAAGUCCUUGUGUCAUUGUGUACGGAUAAGACAGUCCAACUCCUUAGUCAUGCUGUCAAUAUAACAGUGUACUCUGGAGGGAUGUUCUGAUGUAAACUAUGUCUAAAGUUUGGAUGAACAUUAUUGUAAAUUGUAAGUUACACCUUAGUGUAUGUGGGAGAUUGAUUGCAAGAGACUGGACUAGAUUCACAUUUACGCUCUUACUGUUUGUGUUGUAAUUUGUUGACAGACCAUGUCAUUGUGAUACCGAAAGGAAAAGACAGCA